rnacentral:rRNA from 1 species
GACAGAGGUCCCGAGCGUUAGGCGGAAUCACUGGGCUUAAAGCGUGUGUAGGCGGAUCGUUAAGUGCCUUGUGAAAUCCCAUGGCUUAACCAUGGAACUGCUUGGCAUACUGGCGGUCUUGAGCCACUUAGGGGCAACCGGAACAAAUGGUGGAGCGGUGAAAUGCGUAGAUAUCAUUGGAACGCCAUGGUGAAAACAGGUUGCUGGGAGUGUGCUGACGCUGAGACACGAAAGCCAGGGGAGCGAACGGG